CUACGGCCAGCUCCACCCACUUCAGACGCCAAGGCUAGGGGUACACAGCCAGCUCUGAGGGCCUGGCCUUUGGCAGGCAGGGAGUGGGGGGCCCUGGGCUCCCAAGUUGUGAGAAGGAGGUCAGAGAGCAGAGAGGAGCCUGGGUGGGCUCUGAGACUGGAGGCAGUGACCUGCGAGGAAAGGGAGUGUGUCCUGGGCACCAAGCCAUGGCAUCUAGUUCAGGGCCCCUCUGCUUCCUCAGAACACCCCGUGGGGUCGCAUGAUCACCCACGUGACAGAUUCUGAAGACAACUCUGCCUUGUGUAGGGGAGGGAGGCCAUGUCAGGCUGCGCGUAGCAAGAACCACGGGGCCUUGAGUCUGAAGUCUGAGUUUGAGUAGAGCUGGGAUGAGUCACUUCCCUUCCCGAAUCCACUUCCCACACCUGAAGAAUGGAGACAUGGUACCCACUUCCCGGGGAAGUGUGUGAGGAUAGAGCAGGAACACGGGAAGGCUUGGUACUGGGAGGGUACGGAUUAUUUUUAUAAGCAAGGAGUGUGACAUCUAUUUUUAGAGGAGAAAGAAUUUCGUUACAAAGAACUCUCCUAGUCCCCUCCCAGAGUGGAUGGGCUGAGGUGCGGGGGAGCAGUAGGCCCGGAGGACUCCCUGAAGAGGUGGCCUGGGGAUUCCUGGCAGAGGGAACGGCCUGUGCAAAGGCCUGGAGACACGCGACUGAAGCGCGCCUAACAAUGGCUACCAUGGAUUCGUGGGCAGGCGCCUGUACACUCAAUCCUCACGGCAGCUCCAGGACACUGGAGUUAGUGCUCCUGUCUCACAGGAAAGGAAACGUUGGCUCAGAAAGAUAAGGAAACCGAAGCACAGAGAGGCAGGUCAUCUGGCUGAGGUCACACAGCCACACGGCGAGAGAGCAGUGAAGCUGGAGUUCCAGCAAGCUCCACCUGGCGAGAAUUCAAGCCCUGCCAUGGGCCACCUCUCUGGAGGAAGAGAAAGCCAGCUUCAGACUCUGCCUCUCUCAAUCCUUAUACAAGGCCAGAGAGCGCUUGAGGCUUCCAGGCACUCCUAUGCUUACACACCUUCCAUGGCUCCCAGCUGCCCUCCAGAUAAAGAACAAUCUCCUCAGUGUGGCCCUUGAGGUCCUGUGAUCUGGCCUCUGUCCACCACCAGGGCCCCCCUCCUGGCCAGAUCUCUGAGCCUCGGCCAAGCUGACCUGCUUCUCUCAGGGCCUCAACAGGGCCGAUCUCCAUCCCUGCUGUUCCCUUGGUCCAGCAUGCUGUUCCCCUCUAGUUGCUUCUCCUUACCCUGGGGGCCUCCACUCAAAUGCCACCUCCUCCACUGGCCGGACGCUGCCAUUAACCUGCUCGAGUGCUCUCCCUGCAAAACUCAGCACAGGCUGGGCACAGUGGCUCAUGCCUGUAAUCCCAGCACUUUGGGAGGCCGAGGUAGGAUGACUGUUCGAGCCCAGGAGUUCAAAACCAGCCUGGGCAACAAAGUGAGAUCCUGUCUCUAUUUUUUAAAAAAUUAGCCGGGCGCAGUGGAGCACAACUGUAGUCCCAGCUACUCAGGAGCUUAAGGCUAGGGGGUAGCUUGAGCCCAGGAGUUCGAGGCUGCAGUGAGCUGUGAUCACAUCACUGCACUCCCACCUGGGUAACAGAGCAAGACCCUGUCUCAAAAAAAAAAAAAAAAAAAAAAGACCCAUAGCACAAUUGUAAUCAUGUGGGUCAUUGUGGGGUGGUGAGUCACAGCUGGUGAGUGGCAGAAUCAAGACCAGGUCCAGGUGGUACAGCCACAGAGCUGGUGCCCCCAAGUACUCGGCUGCUCACACGGGCCCCAAGAGACCUCCUCACUGGCAAGAGGAAGCCACCUCCUCUCAGAAGAAUGAGCAGGGCUAGAGUACAGUGGCACAAUCACUUCUCACUGCAGUCUCGAACUCUCUGGCUCAAGCAAUCCUCCCACCUCAGCCUCCUGAGUAGCUGGGACUACAGUCGUGUGCCACCACACCUAGCUAAUUUUUUCUAUUUCUUGUAGAGGUGGAGUCUUCCUAUAUAGCUCAGGCUGGUCUCAAAAUCCUGGACUCAAGCAAUCCUCCUGCCUCAGCCUUCCAAAGUGCUGGGAUUACAGACAUGAACCACCGUCCCCUGUAACUACUGUUUAAGAAAGUAAAAAGAUGCAGAAGAAGUUAAUCUAAUAUUUUGUUUAACCCACUAUACUCCAAAUAUCAUUCCUACAUGUAAUCAAGAUAAAAAAAAUUAUUAAUGGCUGGGUGCCAUGGCUCACGCCUGUAAUCCCAGCAUUUUGAGAGGCCGAGGCAGGCGGAUCACCUAGGGUCAGGAGUUCAAGACCAGCCUGACCAACGUGGUGAAACCCUGUCUCUACUAAAAAUGCAAAAAUUAGCCAGGAUUGGUGGCGUGUGCCUGUAGUCCCAGCUACUCAAAAGGCUAAGACAGGAGAAUUGCUUGAUCUUAGGAGGCAGAGUCUACAGUGAGCCAAGAUUGCGCUGCUGCACUCUAGCCUGGGCAACAGAGCAAGACUCUGUCUAAAAAAAAAAAUAAUAAUAAAUAAAUAAUCAUUGAGAUAUCUUACUUUCUUCCAUACUAAGUCUUCAAAAUCCAGUGUGUAUUUCACACUUGUAACACAUCUCAGUUUGGAACAGCUGCAUUUCAACUGCUCAACAGCCACAUGUGGCCAGAGGCUACUGCACUGGGCAGCACAGUGCUAGACUAUAAACUCCAUGAGGGCAGGGACCAAGCCAUACCCACAAUUAUUAAAUCUAGCAUCUGACACAGAGUGGACACUCAAGAAAUGUUUGUUGACUGACUAGCUGAAUGAAAGAAUGAAUGAACAAAUGAAUGAAGGAAUGAACAAAUGAUCUAAGGCCUUCUCAGAUCUGAAGCCACACUCCCAGCACAGGCCAUGGGAAGGGCAUGGAGAUGAAUUCCAGCCCCACCUCUGCACCCACUUCUCUGAGUGACUGUCUCACUCUGUCGCCUAGGCUAGAGUGAAGUGAUGCAAUCAU
rnacentral:lncRNA from 1 species